rnacentral:ncRNA from 1 species
GUUGUUGUGCUAGUAACCCCGCUCAGUAUGAGUGGAACCGCAGGUUCAGACAAUUUGUUUGUGCGCUUGGCUGAGGAACUACUGUAAUGAAGCCAUCAUCUGCGGGAUUAUGAUUCAGAAUCCCACCUAAAGGCAACAAU